rnacentral:rRNA from 1 species
GACGAACGCUGGCGGCGUGCUUAACACAUGCAAGUCGAACGGAGUGGCGAACGGGUGAGUAACACGUGGGUGAUCUGCCGUGCACUUCGGGAUAAGCUUGGGAAACUGGGGCUAAUACCGGAUAGUGCAAGAUGAGCUCGCGGCCUAUCAGCUUGUUGGUGGGGUAAUGGCCUACCUAGGCGUCGACGGGUAGCCGGCCUGGGAGGGUGUACGGCCACAAUGGGACUGAGGUACGGCCCAGACUCCUACGGGAGGCAGCCGUGGGGAAUAUUGCACACUGAGCGGAAGCCUGAUGCAGCGACGCCGGGUGUGGGAUGAAGGCCUUCGUGUGGUAAACGCCUUUCGACAGGGACGCGGUACCUGUAUAAGAAGCACCGGCUAACUACGUGCCAGCAGCCGCGGUAAUAC